AUCCAGAUGACGAGUCCAAAAUAGGACGAAAUGCGAAUCAUGGAU
rnacentral:hammerhead_ribozyme from 1 species